rnacentral:rRNA from 1 species
AUUGAACGCUGGCGGCAGGCCUAACACAUGCAAGUCGAACGAGUGGCGGACGGGUGAGUAAUGUCUGGGAAACUGCCUGAUGGAGGGGGAUCACUACUGGAAACGGUAGCUAAUACCGCAUACUAUCGGAUGUGCCCAGAUGGGAUUAGCUUGUAGGUGGGGUAACGGCUCACCUAGGCGACGAUCCCUAGCUGGUCUGAGAGGCUGACCCGCCACACUGGAACUGAGACACGGUCCAGACUCCUACGGGAGGCAGCAGUGGGGAAUAUUGCACAAUGGGCGCAAGCCUGAUGCAGCCAUGCCGCGUGUAUUAAGAAGGCCUUCGGGUUUUAAAGUACUUUCAGCGGGGAGGCGUUACCCGCAGAAGAAGCACCGGCUAACUCCGUGCCAGCAGCCGCGGUAAUAC